AAAAAGACAAACCCUAGAUUUCUGUGCCAACGUUUGACCGUCCGUCUUAUAUAAAAUUUUUUUAUAUUUAGUAUUUUCAUUGUUGUUAGAUGAUAAAACAUGAUUAAUACUUUAUACGUGACUUAUCUUUUUAUUUUCUUUCAUAAUUUUUUCAAAUAAGACAGACGGUUAAACAUUGGACACGGAAACCAGGGUUUUUCUUUUU
rfam:Oryza glumipatula chromosome 6, whole genome shotgun sequence.